rnacentral:rRNA from 1 species
ACUAAUCCUAGCCCUAGCCCUACACAAAUAUAAUUAUACUAUUAUAUAAAUCAAAACAUUUAUCCUACUAAAAGUAUUGGAGAAAGAAAUUCGUACAUCUAGGAGCUAUAGAACUAGUACCGCAAGGGAAAGAUGAAAGACUAAUUAAAAGUAAGAACAAGCAAAGAUUAAACCUUGUACCUUUUGCAUAAUGAACUAACUAGAAAACUUCUAACUAAAAGAAUUACAGCUAGAAACCCCGAAACCAAACGAGCUACCUAAAAACAAUUUUAUGAAUCAACUCGUCUAUGUGGCAAAAUAGUGAGAAGAUUUUUAGGUAGAGGUGAAAAGCCUAACGAGCUUGGUGAUAGCUGGUUACCCAAAAAAUGAAUUUAAGUUCAAUUUUAAACUUGCUAAAAAAACAACAAAAUCAAAAAGUAAGUUUAAAUUAUAGCCAAAAGAGGGACAGCUCUUCUGGAACGGAAAAAACCUUUAAUAGUGAAUAAUUAACAAAACAACUUUUAACCAUUGUAGGCCUAAAAGCAGCCACCAAUAAAGAAAGCGUUCAAGCUCAACAUAAAAUUUCAAUUAAUUCCAUAAUUUACACCAACUUCCUAAACUUAAAAUUGGGUUAAUCUAUAACUUUAUAGAUGCAACACUGUUAGUAUGAGUAACAAGAAUUCCAAUUCUCCAGGCAUACGCGUAUAACAACUCGGAUAACCAUUGUUAGUUAAUCAGACUAUAGGCAAUAAUCACACUAUAAAUAAUCCACCUAUAACUUCUCUGUUAACCCAACACCGGAAUGCCUAAAGGAAAGAUCCAAAAAGAUAAAAGGAACUCGGCAAACAAGAACCCCGCCUGUUUACCAAAAACAUCACCUCUAGCAUUACAAGUAUUAGAGGCACUGCCUGCCCAGUGACUAAAGUUUAACGGCCGCGGUAUCCUGACCGUGCAAAGGUAGCAUAAUCACUUGUUCCUUAAUUAGGGACUAGCAUGAACGGCUAAACGAGGGUCCAACUGUCUCUUAUCUUUAAUCAGUGAAAUUGACCUUUCAGUGAAGAGGCUGAAAUAUAAUAAUAAGACGAGAAGACCCUAUGGAGCUUAAAUUAUAUAACUUAUCUAUUUAAUUUAUUAAACCUAAUGGCCCAAAAACUAUAGUAUAAGUUUGAAAUUUCGGUUGGGGUGACCUCGGAGAAUAAAAAAUCCUCCGAAUGAUUAUAACCUAGACUUACAAGUCAAAGUAAAAUCAACAUAUCUUAUUGACCCAAAUAUAUUUUGAUCAACGGACCAAGUUACCCUAGGGAUAACAGCGCAAUCCUAUUUAAGAGUUCAUAUCGACAAUUAGGGUUUACGACCUCGAUGUUGGAUCAGGACAUCCCAAUGGUGUAGAAGCUAUUAAUGGUUCGUUUGUUCAACGAUUAAAGUCCUACGUGAUCUGAGUUCAGACCGGAGUAAUCCAGGUCGGUUUCUAUCUAUUUACGAUUUCUCCCAGUACGAAAGGACAAGAGAAAUAGAGCCACCUUACAAAUAAGCGCUCUCAACUUAAUUUAUGAAUAAAAUCUAAAUAAAAUAUAUACGUACACCCUCUAACCUAGAGAAGGUU